GCGGGACACGUGGUAUCCUGUCUGAAUAUGGGGGGACCAUCCUCCAAGGCUAAAUACUCCUGACUGACCGAUAGUGAACCAGUACCGUGAGGGAAAGGCGAAAAGAACCCCGGCGAGGGGAGUGAAAAAGAACCUGAAACCGUGUACGUACAAGCAGUGGGAGCCUCUUAAUGGGGUGACUGCGUACCUUUUGUAUAAUGGGUCAGCGACUUAUAUUCUGUAGCAAGGUUAACCGAAUAGGGGAGCCGAAGGGAAACCGAGUCUUAACUGGGCGUUAAGUUGCAGGGUAUAGACCCGAAACCCGGUGAUCUAGCCAUGGGCAGGUUGAAGGUUGGGUAACACUAACUGGAGGACCGAACCGACUAAUGUUGAAAAAUUAGCGGAUGACUUGUGGCUGGGGGUGAAAGGCCAAUCAAACCGGGAGAUAGCUGGUUCUCCCCGAAAGCUAUUUAGGUAGCGCCUCGUGAAUUCAUCUCCGGGGGUAGAGCACUGUUUCGGCAAGGGGGUCAUCCCGACUUACCAACCCGAUGCAAACUGCGAAUACCGGAGAAUGUUAUCACGGGAGACACACGGCGGGUGCUAACGUCCGUCGUGAAGAGGGAAACAACCCAGACCGCCAGCUAAGGUCCCAAAGUCAUGGUUAAGUGGGAAACGAUGUGGGAAGGCCCAGACAGCCAGGAUGUUGGCUUAGAAGCAGCCAUCAUUUAAAGAAAGCGUAAUAGCUCACUGGUCGAGUCGGCCUGCGCGGAAGAUGUAACGGGGCUAAACCAUGCACCGAAGCUGCGGCAGCGACACUAUGUGUUGUUGGGUAGGGGAGCGUUCUGUAAGCCUGUGAAGGUGGCCUGUGAGGGUUGCUGGAGGUAUCAGAAGUGCGAAUGCUGACAUAAGUAACGAUAAAGCGGGUGAAAAGCCCGCUCGCCGGAAGACCAAGGGUUCCUGUCCAACGUUAAUCGGGGCAGGGUGAGUCGACCCCUAAGGCGAGGCCGAAAGGCGUAGUCGAUGGGAAACAGGUUAAUAUUCCUGUACUUGGUGUUACUGCGAAGGGGGGACGGAGAAGGCUAUGUUGGCCGGGCGACGGUUGUCCCGGUUUAAGCGUGUAGGCUGGUUUUCCAGGCAAAUCCGGAAAACCAAGGCUGAGGCGUGAUGACGAGGCACUACGGUGCUGAAGCGACAAAUGCCCUGCUUCCAGGAAAAGCCUCUAAGCAUCAGGUAACAUCAAAUCGUACCCCAAACCGACACAGGUGGUCAGGUAGAGAAUACCAAGGCGCUUGAGAGAACUCGGGUGAAGGAACUAGGCAAAAUGGUGCCGUAACUUCGGGAGAAGGCACGCUGAUAUGUAGGUGAAGCGACUUGCUCGUGGAGCUGAAAUCAGUCGAAGAUACCAGCUGGCUGCAACUGUUUAUUAAAAACACAGCACUGUGCAAACACGAAAGUGGACGUAUACGGUGUGACGCCUGCCCGGUGCCGGAAGGUUAAUUGAUGGGGUUAGCGG
rnacentral:rRNA from 1 species